CCUACGGGUGGCAGCAGUGAGGAAUAUUGGUCAAUGGACGAGAGUCUGAACCAGCCAAGUAGCGUGAAGGAUGACUGCCCUAUGGGUUGUAAACUUCUUUUAUAUGGGAAUAAAAUGUUCCACGUGUGGGAUUUUGUAUGUACCAUAUGAAUAAGGAUCGGCUAACUCCGUGCCAGCAGCCGCGGUAAUACGGAGGAUCCGAGCGUUAUCCGGAUUUAUUGGGGUUAAAGGGAGCGUAGGUGGAUUGUUAAGUCAGUGGUGAAAGUUUGCGGCUCAACCGUAAAAUUGCAGUUGAAACUGGCAGUCUUGAGUACAGUAGAGGUGGGGGGAAUUCGUGGUGUAGCGGUGAAAUGCUUAGAUAUCACGAAGAACUCCGAUUGCGAAGGCAGUUCACUGGACUGCAACUGACACUGAGGCUCGAAAGUGUGGGUAUCAAACAGGAUUAGAUACCCUUGUAUC
rnacentral:rRNA from 1 species